rnacentral:lncRNA from 1 species
AGAUGUGUUUGCAACCUCAUGAAAAGUGAGAAUGAAAGCACCUUAGAAAACUGCAAAUUUCUUGUUAUUGUCACCCAGGACCUAGGCUGAUUUGUAGGCUGGAUUUGCGGGUAUUACCACUUCCUUAUGUGACUCCCCCACUCUCCAACAGGAUUGUCCCCCAGACGCCAGCCACAUGAACUCUGGAGUCUAACAGGAUGAUGAUAACGUCCCCUUCUGCCUCCCUAGUGCCUAGGGUGUGCCGAGUGCUCUUGUGAAUUAUCUUUCCUUCCAGCGGCCCUUGGAGGGAGGAACUUCUUUCCCUUCUAGAACAUGGGGACACGGAGGCCGGGCUUGGCCCCCCAGGCCUGUCUCAUGAGUUUUUCCUUCUGAGGGUCUCUAGGUGGGACAAGCACUCUCCAGUUAUCAGUUUCCACCACCCUAUUACUGUCAAAAGGAAGAUCUUGGUUUCAUCUUAAAAUGGCUUUAUUCAGAUUGUCACAGAGUACACCGUCCAUCCAGUUAGGGUGUCAAUAGAUGCUCUUCAGUGGUGAACUGGAUACGGGCACCCCCCACCACUGUCAAUUUUAGAACACUUCUGUCACCUCAGAGGGAAGCCCCCUGCUGUUUGCUGUCACCUCCCCCACCAGCCCUAAGUGACUGCUGAUCUGCUUCGUUUCUCUGUGAAGUUGCCUGUUCUAGAUCUUUCAUCUGAACGGAACUGGAUAGUGUGUGGCCCUUCGUGUCCGGCUUGUUUCAUUUAAUGUAAUGCU